rnacentral:rRNA from 1 species
UACGGAGGGUGCAAGCGUUAUCCGGAUUCACUGGGUUUAAAGGGUGCGUAGGUGGGUUGGUAAGUCGGUGGUGAAAUCUCCAGGCUUAACUUGGAAACUGCCAUUGAUACUAUCAAUCUUGAAUACCGUGGAGGUCAGCGGAAUAUGUCAUGUAGCGGUGAAAUGCUUAGAUAUGACAUAGAACACCAAUUGCGAAGGCAGCUGGCUACACGAAUAUUGACACUGAUGCACGAAAGCGUGGGGAUCAAACAGG